CCCCCCCCGACCCCAUACCCAGCCCUGGCACGGGUGCUGCCCCCCGAGGCGGAAUCGUUGGCGCACGAGCUGAGCCACAUCCCUGCAGUGACGGUGGCCGUGGUGAACCUCCAGUACCGCGGGGUGGCGCUGCCCGUCACGGGUUUCGGGCAUUUGGUGCCUUCCUCUGAGGACGAAGCGCUGCUGGGCAUCGUCUACGACUCCGUUGCCUUCCCGCAGCACGACGGCAGCGGGAGCCCCUCCGUGCGGCUGACGGUGAUGCUGGGGGGGCUCCUGGUUCCAACGAAGUUUCGGGG